GAUGAAGAACGUAGCGAAAUGCGAUACGUAAUGUGAAUUGCAGAUUUCAGUGAAUCAUCGAAUCUUUGAACGCACAUUGCGCCCGCUAGUAUUCUGGCGGGCAUGCCUGUUCGAGCGUCAUUUCAACCAUCAAGCCCUGUGCUUGUGUUGGAGCCCUGCGGCUGCCGCAGGCUCCCAAACCCAGUGGCGGGCUCGUCGUCGUACCGAGUGCAGUAAACAUACCACGCUCAGGGCACGCGACGGGUGACCGGCCGUAAAACCCCCCCCCUUCUCAAGGUUGACCUCGGAUCAGGUAGGAAUACCCGCUGAACUUAAGCAUAUCAAUAGCGGAGGA
rnacentral:misc_RNA from 1 species